rnacentral:rRNA from 2 species
CACCCUUUAAUGUUUGAUGUUCUAACGUGGACCCGUAAUCCGGGUUGCGGACAGUGUCUGGUGGGUAGUUUGACUGGGGCGGUCUCCUCCUAAAGAGUAACGGAGGAGCACGAAGGUUGGCUAAUCCUGGUCGGACAUCAGGAGGUUAGUGCAAUGGCAUAAGCCAGCUUGACUGCGAGCGUGACGGCGCGAGCAGGUGCGAAAGCAGGUCAUAGUGAUCCGGUGGUUCUGAAUGGAAGGGCCAUCGCUCAACGGAUAAAAGGUACUCCGGGGAUAACAGGCUGAUACCGCCCAAGAGUUCAUAUCGACGGCGGUGUUUGGCACCUCGAUGUCGGCUCAUCACAUCCUGGGGCUGAAGUAGGUCCCAAGGGUAUGGCUGUUCGCCAUUUAAAGUGGUACGCGAGCUGGGUUUAGAACGUCGUGAGACAGUUCGGUCCCUAUCUGCCGUGGGCGCUGGAAGACUGAGGGGGGCUGCUCCUAGUACGAGAGGACCGGAGUGGACGCAUCACUGGUGUUCGGGUUGUCAUGCCAAUGGCACUGCCCGGUAGCUAAAUGCGGAAAAGAUAAGUGCUGAAAGCAUCUAAGCACGAAACUUGCCCC